rnacentral:rRNA from 1 species
UACGGAGGGUGCAAGCGUUACUCGGAAUUACUGGGCGUAAAGCGUGCGCAGGCGGUUUGUUAAGUCCGUUGUGAAAGCCCCGAGCUCAACUUGGGAAUUGCAGUGGAUACUGGCAGGCUGGAGUACGGUAGAGGAAGGUGGAAUUCCCGGUGUAGCAGUGAAAUGCGUAGAUAUCGGGAGGAACACCGGUGGCGAAAGCGGCUCACUGGACCGCAACUGACGCUGAGGCGCGAAAGCUAGGGGAGCAAACAGG